UACGUAGGGUGCAAGCGUUAAUCGGAAUUACUGGGCGUAAAGCGUGCGCAGGCGGCUUUGCAAGACAGAUGUGAAAUCCCCGGGCUUAACCUGGGAACUGCAUUUGUGACUGCAUAGCUGGAGUGCGGCAGAGGGGGAUGGAAUUCCGCGUGUAGCAGUGAAAUGCGUAGAUAUGCGGAGGAACACCGAUGGCGAAGGCAAUCCCCUGGGCCGGCACUGACGCUCAUGCACGAAAGCGUGGGGAGCAAACAGG
rnacentral:rRNA from 1 species